UACGUAGGGGGCGAGCGUUGUCCGGAUUUAUUGGGCGUAAAGCGCGGGCAGGCGGCCCGGUAAGUCGGCCGUGAAAGCGCCGGGCUCAACUCGGCGAGGACGGGCGAGACUGCGGGGCUUGAGAGAGGUAGAGGGCGGUGGAAUUCCGGGUGUAGUGGUGGAAUGCGUAGAGCUCCGGAGGAACACCAGUGGCGAAGGCGGCCGCCCUGGGCCUUU
rnacentral:rRNA from 1 species